AAUUUAUGUAUCAUAUAUAUGUGCUUCCCAGGUUGCGCUAGUGUAAAGAACCCACCUGCCAAUGCAGGUAGACAUAUGAGACACAGGUUUGAUCCCUAAGCCAGGAAGAUUCCCUGGAGGCGGGCAUGGCAACCCACUCCAGUAUGCUUGCCAGGAGAAUCC